rnacentral:sRNA from 3 species
UAACGUUGCUUUAGCAACGGCCCGAAGGGCGAGGCGAAGCCGAGUCAUCCUGCACGACCCACCA